GGAGAAGCAAAGUGAUGAGCAUUACUGGCUAGAGCCCUAAAGAGGCACCUGUGUGUGUGUGUGUAUGUGUGUGUGUGUGUGCAUGCACACGUAUGUCUGGGAAUGUGAAUGUGUGUGACUGGUUGUAGGGAACUACUUAGGUGCUUUCUAUGGACCAUGACAGUCAAACUGAUAAGAUCUGAUUGCUUC